CCUACGGGUGGCAGCAGUGGGGAAUAUUGCACAAUGGGGGAAACCCUGAUGCAGCGACGCCGCGUGAGUGAAGAAGUAUUUCGGUAUGUAAAGCUCUAUCAGCAGGGAAGAAAAUGACGGUACCUGACUAAGAAGCCCUUGCUAUCUACGUGCCAGCAGCCGCGGUAAUACGUAGGGGGCAAGCGCUAUCCGGUUUUACUGGGUGUAAAGGGAGCGUAAAUGGCCAGACAAGUCAGAAGUGAAAGCCCAGGGCUCAACCCUGGGACUGCUUUUGAAACUGGCGGGCUGGAGUGCAGGAGAGGUGAGCGGAAUUCCAAGUGUAGCGGUGAAAUGCGUAGAUAUUAGGAGGAACACCAGUGGCGAAGGCGGCUUACUGGCCUGUAACUGACGUUGAGGCUCGAAAGCGUGGGGAGCAAACAGGAUUAGAUACCCUUGUAGUC
rnacentral:rRNA from 1 species